CCUACGGGUGGCAGCAGUGAGGAAUAUUGGUCAAUGGGCGCGAGCCUGAACCAGCCAAGUAGCGUGAAGGAUGACUGCCCUCCGGGUUGUAAACUUCUUUUAUAGAGGAAUAAAGUGAGGCACGUGUGCCUUUUUGUAUGUACUUUAUGAAUAAGGAUCGGCUAACUCCGUGCCAGCAGCCGCGGUAAUACGGAGGUUCCGAGCGUUAUCCGGAUUUAUUGGGUUUAAAGGGAGCGUAGAUGGGUGGUUAAGUCAGUUGUGAAAGCUCGCGGCUCAACCGUAAAAUUGCAAUUGAUACUGGCAGUCUUGAGUACAGGUGAGGUAGGCGGAAUUCGUGGUGUAGCGGUGAAAUGCUUAGAUAUCACGAAGAACUCCGAUUGCGAAGGCAGCUUACUAAACUGCAACUGACAGUGAUGCUCGAAAGUGUGGGGAUCAAACAGGAUUAGAUACCCUUGUAGUC
rnacentral:rRNA from 1 species